UUAUCCCCUUCAUUCCAUUCGUAUGAGAGAGAGAGGGAAAGGAAGCGAAAAGAAAGAAGAAGAAGAAGAAGAAGAAAGUAGAGUAUUUGGUGCCGUUUGACGAGUCGAUCGAAACGCCGUGCGCCUGAUGUUUAGCGUUUCGACAUUCGGGAGCCGAUUUUGCGAGCGUUUCGUCGACGGAUUUUUCCGUGACUUUCGGAUUGUUGUGGCUGCCAUGCGGAUUGGGUUUGGGCUGUUAGGUAAUUCCAGAGCAAGGUUCAGAAGCUUAGCUCGGAAUUGAUCACGUGUCAACCUAAUUGAGGGUAAAACGAAAGCGUUGGCGAAGUCGGUUCGGCAAUCCGUCGAGCCUACGCGAAGAUAUCGCCAAAAGAACAUUUUCGGCUACAAUUGUCGGGAGCGCGGGUCGCGGUUCUUGGAAAAGUGCGAGAAGCGCAUUUCUCGCAAUCCGGUACAAAAUAAAGGUUCGCACGUGAGCGGCGCGGCGGCGCGAGGACAGGGCGUAGCUUCGUAGAUAGUGCCCUACCACCAAGACCAGAGAUAGCAGUACCCAGAAGCAGUCUAGCUCAGAGUAUAAGUAUGAAAGAAGCAAACUUGUAUCAAAUUUGUAUAAGUUGUAAUAAUUUAAAGGCUUAUGUAAUAUUGUAAAUGGAAAAAUCUUGAGAUAAAUGCUUGUAAUAGCAUAGUUAACAUUUUAUGUU